rnacentral:rRNA from 1 species
GACGAACGCUGGCGGCAUGCCUAAUACAUGCAAGUCGAGCGAACAGAUGGAGUGCUUGCACUUCUGACGUUAGCGGCGAACGGGUGAGUAACACGUAAGGAAUCUACCUAUAAGCGGGGGAUAACAUUCGGAAACGGGUGCUAAUACAGCAUAAUAUCCUCUUCCGCAUGGAAGAAGAAUGAAAGACGGCUCUGCUGUCACUUAUAGAUGACCUUGCGGUGCAUUAGUUAGUUGGUGGGGUAACGGCCUACCAAGAAGAUGAUGCAUAGCCGACCUGAGAGGGUGAUCGGCCACAUUGGGACUGAGACACGGCCCAAACUCCUACGGGAGGCAGCAGUAGGGAAUCUUCCGCAAUGGGCGAAAGCCUGACGGAGCAAUGCCGCGUGAGUGAAGAAGGCCUUCGGGUCGUAAAACUCUGUUAUAAGAGAAGAACAAAUUGUAGAGUAACUGCUACAGUCUUGACGGUAUCUUAUCAGAAAGCCACGGCUAACUACGUGCCAGCAGCCGCCGUAA